ensembl:lincRNA Gm26772 predicted gene, 26772
AGAUGUAUAUAUUUAUUAUUAUAUGUAAGUACACUGUAGCUGUCUUCAGACACCCCAGAAAAGGGCAUCAGAUCUCAUUAUGGAUGGUUGUGGUUGCUGGGAUUUGAACUCGGGACCUUCAGAAGAGCCUGUCAGUGCUCUUAACCGCUGAGCCAUCUCUCCAGCCCCUAUUGUAUUCUUUCAACUAUGCCAUGAAACAAUACCAUAAGUAGCCUCACCUCAGAAACAAGGGAAACUGAGGCAGGAUGCUUUAAAAUAUAGCCAAGAGCUCACAGCUAGUAAGUUGCAGAGCAAAGAUGGAAUGAAAGUUCACACAUGAGUAAUCUUGCCCAUCUCUGUCUUGUGUCUUUGGUUCUUGUGUCUCCGUCUUGUAUGUCAGGUUAGGUGGCAGCCAGGAGCUCCAGGUUUUUCCUCUACAGUGUUCUGCUCCCUUAAGAAGUCUUUUUUGUGCUCCAGAGAACAUCAAAUAGGGAUGGGACUCGUGUGUGUUCCUGUGCAUGCCUGUGAGCCUCCAGCGGAUGCUGCGCGGAAGAUGUGUGUGCCGCUGAUUUAUAACCAUCAGAGAAAACAGAACUGCAAAUCUCACCCACAAAUCUUCCUUAUCGGGGAUGCUUGCAACAAGCAGACACAUCAUGAAUUCCCAGGAACAGGCAGGUCUCCUCCUAGCCUUGGUUCCCACCAGCUGCCUGCUCCCCUGGGCCUGUGGGGGAGCCAUGGGUUGGUUCCAUGAGGUCCCUCUGGCUGCCCGCAGAAGGCCAGCUCACCACUCAGGAAGUGGUGGUCCAUCAGAAAUGCUGGCUCCCCAGUGGUGGAGUCUGGGAGAGCUCCAAGAGCCCCUCCUGGCUGCUAGAAGCAUGCUGGCUGCCCUGCUCCAAUCCUGACUGCUCAGCUGUUGAACUGGGCCUGAAGUACCAACAGCCAGAAGAGCAAAGAUCCCCAGAGCAAACAUAACAGUCUGCCAGCAUCAAGGGGCCAGGUGUGGCCAUCAGCUCUUCUAACAUGACCCCAGGUGGAGGCUCUAAGAAUCUCUUUCAUAACUUGGGUUCCAGAUCUGAGCACAGAGGUCUGUCUGACUCGAGAGAUCCAGUGCUUAGAACCAUUCCGGCAUGUUUCUUGAGUCACAGGUUCCUCACGUCCUCAAGCCUCUUAGGUGUCCUUAGACCCUAUCACUGGCAUGUAUAUUUUACCUGUGUCCUUAAGAGGGGCUGGGUCACCCCACAGGUGUGUACCUCCACCCCAGUGUGUACGCGAUGAACCACUGGGAGACUUCUCUGCUCACACAGCCUACAUUAUCUUCUCUAAGUUCACACUAGGUCCCACAUAAUGGAGGGACAAGCACAAUUCAGGUGAGGUAAACUAGUCAGGCACAGGCUUCCCCACCAUCUUGGAUUGCUGAGUUGUCCCCAUGAGACUGACCAUUAGGGUGUCAGUGGGUAGCAGGAAUGGCCCAAUCUUGGCUCUGCCUUAGCCUGCUGUGUAGUAGGCCUCUCUGAUUAGUCUGAUGCCCUUUCUAUGUUUGUGUGUGUGUGUGGUGUGUGGUGUGUGUGUGUGUAUGUGUGUGUGUGUGUGGAUGUGUGUGUGUGUGUGUGUGUGUGUUGGGGGUUUCCCUCUUGCCCCUCCUUCCUGUCUGGGGAAGAGACAGCAGGUGGAGCCUGACUAGCAGAGGGUCAGACACGGGCUUGUGAGAAAGAGAUAAACCUUGAAGCCACCAAGUUCUUAGUCUACCAUGGCAAGCACAGGCUGGGCAGUGCCAGCUGGAAUGGCAAGUCCUUCUUGCCAACAGUCAGAUCAGAAGUGGCUCAAUGCCACAAAGAGUGAGUAGGAUACAGGACCUGGGCAGAACAGGGCUCUACUUCUAGCUUGUGUCUCUGGUCUCUCUUUGGUACAAUCAAGUUCCCCUAGUUCUUUUUGAGUUCUACCUCAUUGCCUAACCAUCUAUAGGACCCAGGGGUCCGGAAUCCCUUGCUUCUACAAACACACAGCCAAGGCUGGCAAGCCAUACAGACCUGUUAUCCAUGCACUCAGACACUGAGACAAUAGGACAGCUAAGAGCUGCAGGCUAUCCUGGGUUACAUACUGCCUCCAAGUCCAGAUUGAUUUGCAUAACAAGACUGUCUUUAAGAAAAAUAACUGGGCUGGAGAGAUGGCUCAGAGGUUAAGAGUACUGACUGCUCUUCCAGAGGUCCUGAGUUCAAAUCCCAGCAACCACAUGGGAGCUCACAACCAUCUGUAAUGGGAUCUGAUGCUUUCUUCUGGCGUGUCUGAAGGCAGCGACGGUGUACUUGUAAGUGUACUUGUAACUACUUAUACUUGUGUACGACGGUGUACUUGUAAGUAAGGUAUACUUACAUACAUGAAAUAAAUAAAUCUUUAAAAAAAAAGAAAGAAAAGAAAAUAACUAACAGCAAAUAAGUAAAGCCUGCCGACCUGUCAAAAUAAUUCUGACCUGUUGCUACCAAUGACUAUCUCUUUAGGUUGCUGUUGGGGGCAGGGGUGGUGGUAGCUGCACGCAGUAGGCUCUUUAUAAAUGUGUAUCUCCCUUCUCUUCUUCCUCCAUGUAUCUCUGAUCUCCAGCUCAGUGACAGCAUCGUUUAGGAAGUGUUCCAUAAUGAGGCAGAAGUCGGCUGCUCUGACCAUCUUGCCUUCUGCUAGCUCUGGGCAUGCCUUUCCUUCCGGAAGGGAAACUGAGGCCUGAGCAGGGGUGGCCUGGCCAGCAGGCAGGGCUGUCUAAAUGGAGUGGAGACACACUGGGGCCUCAUGGCUCACAGUGGCCACCCUACCAGUCUCCCCAGUCUUCUCCCAGGCAGGAAGCCAAAAGGACUCCUGCAGAGCCUGGCCUGCCUCUCCCAUAAGUCAAUCACCUGGGAGGCCAGUGGCCCUCUGCCUCGCCAGGCUGACAGAUGACGGGGAGGGAGAGGAAGCUUGCCAGGCAGCCAGUGGGGGUGGGAAGGCCAAGGUGGAAAAAAUCAGAGCAGGGUUUGAAAGAUGAAGAAAUAAACCUGCCAGGAGGGAGACAGCCUCAAUCUGUCCUCCAUAAAGCUGUCUCAGGGCCACCAAGGACGUCGGCGGAUGGAGGGGACCGGAGAUAGCUCCUCCUGGAACCUCUGCUGCCCCCACAGCCCAGCUGGCCUCCAGAUCUGACUUGGUGAGGGUUCCAAAGAGGGACCUGGCUGGGUUUCUGGGGCAUAGCGGGUGACAGGAGGGGAAGGUGGGGGCCUGAGGCCUUUUUUAUUUUUUUUUGGCUUUCCUAACCAUUUGCACACAGAUACAGAAGGCACUCGAUACUGACAUCUGGACCAAGUGAAUGGAGGAAGGCAUUGUCAUGUUUGCAGUUAACAGAAAGAGCUUGGGCACAGCUGAGUUGGCUUCAGGGUGAACCACAGGCAACCUAUGUCAAACUACAAAACUGAGCCUCUUGGUACCUAGCUC